GGCCCCUUGGUCAAGCGGUUAAGACAUCGGCCUUUCACGCCGGUAACAGGGGUUCGAAUCCCCUAGGGGUCACCA
rnacentral:tRNA from 2 species